rnacentral:rRNA from 1 species
AAUCUGGGGUCCCCGACCUCCGAGUUGUAAUUUGGAGAGGCAUCUUCGGGGGGGAGCGCCGGCCCAUGUUCCUUGGAACAGGACGUCAGAGAGGGUGAGAAUCCCGUGCCAGGCCGGCUCCCUCCUCCCGGGUGAAGUGCCUUCGACGAGUCGAGUUGUUUGGGAAUGCAGCUCCAAGUGGGUGGUAAGUUUCAUCUAAAGCUAAAUACCGGCGGGAGACCGAUAGCGCACAAGUAGAGUGAUCGAAAGAUGAAAAGCACUUUGAAAAUAGAGUCAAAAAGUACGUGAAAUUGUUGAAAGGGAAGCGCUUGAGACCAGACUCAGGCCCGGGCAAACACCGCGCCCCCCGGGGCCGUGCAAUUGCCUGGGGCUGGGCCAGCAUCAGUCGGCGUGGCGGGACAAAGUCGCGGGGAAUGUGGCUCCCCUCGGGGAGUGUUACCAGCCCCGCGCUCAAUGCCGCCGACGCCGACUGAGGACCGCGCCUCGGCUAGGAUGCUGGCUUAAUGGCCUUCAGCGACCCGUCUUGAAACACGGACCAAGGAGUCUAACAUCUAUGCGAGUGUUUGGGCGUCAAACCCUUGCGCGGAAUGAAAGUGAGCGGAGGUGGGAACCCCCCAGCGGGGCGCACCAUCGACCGAUCCUGAUGUCUUCGGAUGGAUUUGAGUA